CAGUGCAGUAGAAGUAAGGACAAAAAAACGAGAGCUCAUGGGAGAAACCGGGAGGACUUUGGUGAAGUUGAAAAUGAGGCAGAGAGGGGAUUCUGAAUUGUAGGAAAUUCCAAGAGGCAGGCUCAUGUUCUGUUUGUGAAAAACCAAGUUCGGAAUGACUGACCAGUGCUUUCAAGUGGGAAGAGGAAGAUUCUAUUUAAAGGUCAGCAGAUGACAGACAGAUGCUCCCAAUUUGGAAAUGAGAGCUGGAGGGAAGAACUGAGAAGGCCAGUCUCUGGUCCAUGUACACAUUCUCAAAGAAAUUUAGCACCAAGACUAACAUUCUUGGGAAGCCAACCUGCAAGUAUCCUCCACUGAGGGACAAACCAAGACAUUGCUGCUCCAUUGAGGACUGACCAACAAGCCAUGAAAUCCCUGACUGCAGGAGACUUGGAAGACUGCCUUAUGACUAAGGUAAGGACCGGUACGGGUCUCUCCCACACUCCCACCCCAUCCCUCCUGCCCCACCAACCUGGAUUCAGAAGGGAUGUCAGGCUGCUUCCAAAGAUACAUGAAAGGCUCCUCGGGAACCCAAGACCAUCACCCAUAAGAGUGUUUAGGGACUUAACCUUAUUUCAGUCCUCUCUCUGAGAUUCUAGUGCCAGAGGCCCUUUGGGUACAGACUGUGGAACAGAAAGUUAGAACGUGGGUUGGAACUCCAUCUCUGCCAUUGGUACUGGGUAUGGUUAUGAGGGAGGCACGGAACCUGCCUGAGCCUCAGCUUUCUUCUCUGUCAAAUGGGGGUGAUAAUAGGGUCAUUGAAAAAGAGUAAAUGAAAUUAAGAAUGCCCUUUAGAAACUAUAAAACUGCUAGAUUUAAAAAUAUAUAUCACAUAUUUAGUAUAAAUCCAUUAAGAGUUCAUUGAAUUUCUUCUUUAGAGAGUCAUAGACUCUUAGAGUGUUAGAACUGGAAGGGACCUUACAUAUUAUCUAACUUAAUUCAGCCUUUCCAUUUACUGAUGAAGCUAUUAAGGCACAGAGCCACCCGUAAAACCAGAACAUUUAAAGUAAGAUUAGGGACUUGUCUAAGAUUAGGGACAUGCCUUCAUAAGUAAACAAAGCAGAGUUCAUUAUCACAGUGAUAAGCUGAUUUUGUAGGCAAACCACUUAGAUAAAUAGGGGAAACUUA